AUAGAACGCUGGCGGCAUGCCUUACACAUGCAAGUCGAACGGCAGCACGGGUGCUUGCACCUGGUGGCGAGUGGCGAACGGGUGAGUAAUACAUCGGAACGUACCUUAUCGUGGGGGAUAACGCAGCGAAAGCUGUGCUAAUACCGCAUACGCCCUGAGGGGGAAAGCGGGGGAUCGCAAGACCUCGCGCGAUUAGAGCGGCCGAUGCCUGAUUAGCUUGUUGGUGGGGUAAAAGCCCACCAAGGCGACGAUCAGUAGCUGGUCUGAGAGGACGAUCAGCCACACUGGGACUGAGACACGGCCCAGACUCCUACGGGAGGCAGCAGUGGGGAAUUUUGGACAAUGGGGGCAACCCUGAUCCAGCAAUGCCGCGUGAGUGAAGAAGGCCUUCGGGUUGUAAAGCUCUUUUGUCAGGGGAGAAACACCGGCUCCAACACAGUCUGGGAAUGACGGUACCUGAAGAAUAAGCACCGGCUAACUACGUGCCAGCCGCCGCCGUAA
rnacentral:rRNA from 1 species